CUGACUUGCAGAUGGUUUAUUUGCCUCGCUGCUCCUGCAAAGGCUCCUUUCCCACCAGCGCUGUCCAGUAGCUGCCAAGGGGAGAGGAUCCGGUGCUGGGAUCUCUGAAGUUGACUGCUGCCUCCAAAUUGGACCCAACUGCAGCUAGAGAGGAACUGAUCAGAGGCCAGUGCCCGCACCCCAGCGUUCAUCUGUCUCGGUGAGAGAGGAGAGAUGACAAAAGGCGAGGGUCCCAUGGAUUCAGAGCAGUCACCCAAUGAAGGAGAAGUUGAACUGCCUAACAACAAACUCCAGAGAGCUGUUGGGUGGAAAGCCCCGCUAGCCGUCGGCCUGGUAGUCGUCGUUGUG